AGCGAGUCCAUGCGGCUGGAGGACAACGCUGAUUGAUUGGGGACUGACCAGGGCGGAGGGAGGAAAUCUGCUCUGGGGAGCAGAUAGAAGGUCAGCCUUGUAAUCAGGAAGAUGUAGAUUCAAGUUCUUGGGACCACGGACAAGUCAUUUAAGCUGAAACAAGAGAAGUGACCUGUAAAAUUGGAGUGGGGGAUAAGAAGGGAAAUGGUGAAUAUGAAGAAUUCAGAAAAACAUAGGAAGACUGAUAUAAGCUGAUGCAGGCAGAACAAAGGAUGUAGAACCAUGAUAAGAUCUAUAAUGACUAU